ensembl:lncRNA
GUGAAGGGGUGAAGGGGUGAAGGAGUGAAGAGGUGAAAGAGUGAAGGGGUGAAAGAGUGAAGGGGUGAAGGGGUGAAGGGGUGAAAGAGUGAAGGGUGAAGGCGGGGCGUCCGGGAGGAAAUAAAGGAAGAGAAACAGAAAGCGGUUAUUUACAGUCUCAGUGACGUGCACGUUAGAUCAGUUUAUAAUCAGAUCUGUAUUCAUACAUGUAAGAGAACAGCAAAGUAAACACACACACUCUGCAUUUUCCUACACACACACACACACACACACACACACACACACGUGUUCUCCCUCAGUGUGUGUAAAAUCUCUGCCUUUGUACAGUUUGUUAGUUUACAGUAAUAAAAAUGUAGAUUCGUUCCUGCAGGUUAGAAAUAAUAUAAACACGUCC